rnacentral:lncRNA from 1 species
GCAGAGAAUCAAGCAUUAUAUCUAAAGUACUCCCAUAAAUGUUGAAAGCAAUAUUAUUAAUACCAUAACUCCGAAAGAAUACCUAAGGGACAUUUAUGAUCCUGUUUCAAACUCCAAAACCGAAGAGUUAUGUGAUUCGGUAAGAAAACAAAGUCCAAAACUUUUCCAGGAGGAAAUUUUCUCCGUUUCGGAAUAUUUGAAAAAAUACAAAAAA